CUCUCAACAGCUUUGCAGCAGCGUGGGGCUGGAUGUGGCCUCUGGGGCACGAUCCAUUGCCAGCCCAUGCCUGGAAAUGAAGAGCUCCAUCCAGAAGUAAAAGCUGCUAUAAAAAGAAGAAACUGUCCCCAGGACAGAUCCAUUUCACCAAUGAAUUCCCAAGUAUAAUUUCCAGCCUGCAACUGGACCGUGUGUGCAGCUUUACAGCAGUGAUAAACCAAGGGACAGGGGGGAUGGCUUCCUGUUUGAGAAGAUUCUGCUCAGCUGUGCCUGCCUACAGCGUGUCUCAAGAAAACAGUAAAAAUGUUUGUCAUUUCAAGCAGUAAUCCAUUAUCUGUGAGGUGUGUGCAUAAAU
rnacentral:lncRNA from 1 species